rnacentral:misc_RNA from 1 species
GCAGCCAAAAGAUUAUCAUAUUGUUGAAAAGAAAAAGUACAUCGGACAAAAAUAUAGUCCUCGAACCAAAACAACAAGCAAUUCAACUUACAUUCUUUCUUUUAAAUAAUAACCACCAACUUAUUUUCAAUAUCUUUAGACAAUCUGAUCCCUAUUUAUGUGUUGAUGUGCUAGAUCUAUGCCAUGGGCUAGGCUCUGCUCCAAAGGUAUUGUCCCCACAACUGAUGCUAACAGCGACCCAGGGGGAUUUUGUCCUGAAAAGACCCCUCUGGGGGAGAAAGGGAAGGCUAGUGCUUAUAAGCAAUCUAGCCUCUCGACUCCUAACCGAUGUGGGACCCUGGGCAUCAACAUAGCCCCCCAGUCGAGGGGCUUGGGAAGAGGCACAUGGCCACGUUCCCCACAGACGACGCUAAUAUUGCG